AUGUACCCCCACACACGCCGGUUCCUCCGCGCCGCACGCACCCACCUGGCGACUGCUUGCUACUUUGUUAGCC
rnacentral:sRNA from 1 species